GCCCAGUGAUGAUACCAAGGCGAAUGUGAGCUUACUGGAUGUGAGUCUGAGUUCUCCUGUGUUCAUGUUGGCUGGUAAUCUUGAGAGGGCAGCGGAGAUUUGCUGCUCUGUUGUAAGGGCCAGCCUACAUUAAUAAAGCUCCUUUACUCACACUCUUCUAUAAAGUAAUUCUGGGGAGAGAGUUAAGGGGCAGACAGUGUGUCUGAGUGUGUGUGUGAGUGAACUCUGGUAGAGUCUCAGCUCUGCUGUAUCCAGUAGCCUAUGAGCUGCAUCUUUGGUAAUCUGAGGGUG